rnacentral:rRNA from 1 species
UACGUAGGGUGCAAGCGUUAAUCGGAAUUACUGGGCGUAAAGCGUGCGCAGGCGGUCUUGCAAGACAGAUGUGAAAUCCCCGGGCUUAACCUGGGAACUGCAUUUGUGACUGCAAGGCUGGAGUACGGUAGAGGGGGAUGGAAUUCCGCGUGUAGCAGUGAAAUGCGUAGAUAUGCGGAGGAACACCGAUGGCGAAGGCAAUCCCCUGGGCCUGCACUGACGCUCACGCACGAAAGCGUGGGGAGCAAACAGG